UACGUAGGGGGCAAGCGUUAUCCGGAUUUACUGGGUGUAAAGGGAGCGUAGACGGAAUGGCAAGUCUGAAGUGAAAUACCCGGGCUCAACCUGGGAACUGCUUUGGAAACUGUUGUUCUAGAGUGUUGGAGAGGUAAGUGGAAUUCCUGGUGUAGCGGUGAAAUGCGUAGAUAUCAGGAAGAACACCGGAGGCGAAGGCGGCUUACUGGACGAUAACUGACGUUGAGGCUCGAAAGCGUGGGAAGCAAACAGG
rnacentral:rRNA from 1 species